AGUCCAAAAUCAAGAUAAUGGGU
rnacentral:snRNA from 1 species